AGAGGUACACAAAUGAUCUGCUACUUAGAUUUCCGCUGGUUCCUGUAUUGAUUCUCCUU
rnacentral:sRNA from 1 species